CGGAGCAGUCGACAGUAAUUUUUGCAGUAAGAUUGUUGUUAACUAUUGUUUUCGCUUGUAAAUUCAGUGGACUGUAUACACUUGAUAAUAAAUGUCCUUUAUUACUGAUCACACAUAAAUGAACGAUUACAAUGGAUUGAUCAUUAAUGACCACACUUAAACUGAACGAUUACAAUGGAUUGAUCUUUCGUUGCUUUCAAGAUGGACACGCUGCCUUACGUGACCUGAUGGUCCAGCUUCUGGUCGUUGUCUGCUGUCCUUUUCUGUCUCGAGUCGUGCUGCCAACCCUAAAGUUUUUACCGGGUUGCCAGCUCAACGACGCUAAAAAUUAUAAAAGAAAAAUUGAACAAACGAGCCUUAACAACUAUAAUUUGACUUGUUGCUUGAUGAUAGAGAAG
rnacentral:lncRNA from 1 species